rnacentral:tRNA from 1 species
GCCCGGGUGGUGGAACUGGUAGACACGCAAGACUUAAAAUCUUGUUUCCUUACGGAAGUGCGGGUUCAAGUCCCGCCCCGGGCACCA